rnacentral:piRNA from 1 species
GCAUUGGUAUAGUGGUAUCAUGCAAGA